rnacentral:rRNA from 1 species
GACGAACGCUGGCGGCGUGCUUAACACAUGCAAGUCGAGCGGUAAGGCCCUUUCGGGGGUACACGAGCGGCGAACGGGUGAGUAACACGUGGGUGACCUGCCCUCAGCUCUGGGAUAAGCCUGGGAAACUGGGUCUAAUACCGGAUAUGACUUCACAUCGCAUGGUGUGUUGUGGAAAGUUUUUUCGGCUGGGGAUGGGCCCGGCGGCCUAUCAGCUUGUUGGUGGGGUGAUGGCCUACCAAGGCGACGACGGGUAGCCGGCCUGAGAGGGCGACCGGCCACACUGGGACUGAGACACGGCCCAGACUCCUACGGGAGGGCAGCAGUGGGGAAUAUUGCGCAAUGGGCGGAAGCCUGACGCAGCGACGCCGCGUGGGGAUGACGGCCUC